AUCAAUCAGUCCUCAGUCCUUGCAGAAGCAAAACAAUAUAGAGGCAAUCGACACUGCCCCAUUUCAGAGGAAACUGAGAAUCUCUGGCCUACUAAGCUUAGGCUCUAGAUUAAAAGCAACUUCUCUUUCUCAAUCUGGUUGAAUCUGGAGCUUAAUCUCUUUCUCAAACUAAGAUUCUUGGGCAUUUCUUCCGUGGUAGGCAUUGAUAUUAGAGUAAAAUGUUUGAAAUGGGUAGUCAUGGUUAAUUCUUCCAACUGACUAAGAAAGGGGAAUAUUAUUGUAAACUGAACGAUGCUGUGAUUUGAUCCGAUUUGUUGGAUCUUGUUGGUUUCGGUCGGU
rnacentral:misc_RNA from 1 species